GGCAAUAUGGCGGAGUGGUUAACGCGAUUGACUAGAAAUCAAUUUCCUUUGGGAGCAUCUGUUCGAAUCAGGUUAUUGUCG
rnacentral:tRNA from 1 species